CAGUCGCCGCGGUAAUACGGAGGGUGCAAGCGUUAAUCGGAAUUACUGGGCGUAAAGCGCACGCAGGCGGUCUGACAAGUCAGAUGUGAAAUCCCCGGGCUUAACCUGGGAACUGCAUUUGAAACUGUCAGGCUGGAGUCUUGUAGAGGGGGGUGGAAUUCCAGGUGUAGCGGUGAAAUGCGUAGAGAUCUGGAGGAAUACCGGUGGCGAAGGCGGCCCCCUGGACAAAGACUGACGCUCAGGUGCGAAAGCGUGGGGAGCAAACAGGAUUAGAUACCCGUGUAGUCCCUGUCUCUUAUAA
rnacentral:rRNA from 1 species